rnacentral:RNase_P_RNA from 1 species
ACAUUCGGGUAAUCGCUGCCGCAGUUUGCGGCAGAGGAAAGUCCAUGCUCGCACGGUGCUGAGAUGCCCGUAGUGAUCGCGCCUGGCGAAACAAUAAGCCAGGGCAGUCCGGUUUCAUACUGGACUGACGGCAGGAAAAGCGCCUAAGUCUAUUGCAGAUAUGGCGUGACUACCUUUAAAGUGCCACAGUGACGGAGCUUUGUUGGAAACAACAAAGGUGGAACGAGGUAAACCCCGUGAGCGAGAAACUCAAAUUUUGGUAGAGGCACUCUUUCUGAGAAAAUGAACGAGGAAAGAGGCAGGCUUAAAAAUGGGCCUGCAGAUAGAUGAUUACCGCUGGAGUACGAGGUCCGCCUAUGACCGUUAGCAGUACAAAAGUACAGAACAUGGCUUACAUGA